rnacentral:RNase_P_RNA from 1 species
CGAGUUGGUUGGGCGGCCGCGGAGUGAUCCGAGGAAAGUCCGGACUCCACAGAGCAGGGUGAUUGCUAACGGCAAUCCGAGGUGACUCGCGGGAAAGUGCCACAGAGAACAGACCGCCGCCCGAGCCGUGAGGCGAGGGAGGUAAGGGUGAAACGGUGCGGUAAGAGCGCACCAGCGCUGCGGGUGACCGCAGCGGCUAGGCAAACCCCACCCGGAGCAAGGCCAAGAAGGUCAUGCCGUGAGGCAUGACUGCGCAGGCGUUCGAGGGCUGCUCGCCCGAGCCUGCGGGUAGGCCGCUUGAGGCACCCGGCAACGGUGUGUCCAGAUGGAUGGUCGCCGCCGCGCGUCCUCCGCUCGUCGGAGGCGUGCGGAACAGAAUCCGGCUUACACGCCAACUCGUUCG